AAAGUCGUAACAAGGUUUCCGUAGGUGAACCUGCGGAAGGAUCACUAUGAAGUGGGGCGUCUGCUGCGGCGGCCGCCCACAUUGGCACGGGGUCCUGCUGCCCGCUCGCUCGCCCGCCCCUCCUUGAUUGGAGGGGAGGGGGGGGGAGAGGAGAGGAGGUGGGCCCUGAUGUUUACGCUUGCAUGUUUGACAGAGUACAGUGGUACACGAGACAAAUGACAACUUUUAACAAUGGAUCUCUUGGCUCUU
rnacentral:misc_RNA from 1 species